rnacentral:rRNA from 1 species
AUUGAACGCUGGCGGCAUGCUUUACACAUGCAAGUCGAACGGUAACAGGCCUUCGGGUGCUGACGAGUGGCGAACGGGUGAGUAAUGCAUCGGAACGUACCCAGAGGUGGGGGAUAACGCAGCGAAAGCUGUGCUAAUACCGCAUGUGAUCUGAGGAUGAAAGCGGGGGACCGAGCAGCAAUGUUUGGCCUCGCGCCUUUGGAGCGGCCGAUGUCGGAUUAGCUAGUUGGUGGGGUAAAGGCCUACCAAGGCGACGAUCCGUAGCUGGUCUGAGAGGACGACCAGCCACACUGGGACUGAGACACGGCCCAGACUCCUACGGGAGGCAGCAGUGGGGAAUUUUGGACAAUGGGCGCAAGCCUGAUCCAGCAAUGCCGCGUGCGGGAAGAAGGCCUUCGGGUUGUAAACCGCUUUUGGCAGGAACGAAGCGGUGUCCGCUAAUACCGGGCGCUAAUGACGGUACCUGCAGAAUAAGCACCGGCUAACUACGUG